GCAACGAGCGCAACCCUCGCCUCUAGUUGCCAGCAUCGGUUGGGCACUCUAGAGGGACUGCCGGCGACAAGUCGGAGGAAGUGGGGAUGACGUCAAAUCAUCAUGCCCUUAUGACCUGGGCUACACACGUGCUACAAUGGGCGGUACAAAGGGCUGCGAACCCGCGAGGGGAGCGAAUCCCAAAAAGCCGCUCUCAGUUCGGAUUGCAGGCUGCAACUCGCCUGCAUGAGGCCGGAAUCGCUAGUAAUCGCGGAUCAGCAUGCCGCGGUGAAUACGUUCCCGGGCCUU
rnacentral:rRNA from 1 species